UUUAAUUAACUAACAGCUCCAUGUGGAGGUGCUCCUAUGUAAAGGAUGCUUAUUAACAAAAUAAUUUGUUAUAUGUUCCAAGGAUUUGUAUAGUAGGAAUGGGGGAACUAGCAGGUACCUAUUUUUCACUUUUCACAUGGAGAAAUACUUUGAACAUCAGAUCAGGACAAUAUCCGUGAAUCUCUCGUCCGGAGUCGGGUUUUUUUAAAACGCUUGAAAGAUACAGAUUAUGACGCGUCUUAAAGAGAAGAACGCCGUCAGCCGAUUGUCAACAACAGUACUUGUUUCAGUUAAUUUAACAAGACAAACAAUACCAAGGAGCUAUGAAUCAAUGAAUACUCGAGGAUGUACUACAGCAGUAUUACAAGGUAUGGGCAGAGGAGUUGACUAUUGAUAAUGACUGAUACUGGAAUUAAUGAAGUAACCUACAUGUAGUGUCCAAUCUCUAUGUGGAGUUUGCCUAUCAGACAGUCCAUUUUUACAUGUACCAAAAAAUGAACUGUAGGAAGUAUUCAAAGAGUCUGAUUGCUAAGUAUGCAUUACAGGAUUUUAUCAUUGGAGCAACAUCUUAGGAGGAGAAGUGCAAAUGUAUGAAGGAAUCCUUGGGUACAAAUAGCAAUUAUAUGCAGAAGAGGACUCUAAAACAUUAUUAACAGACAUGUAGUCAUAGUAGUGGUGUUUUCAAGAAACGUAAACCAACUGGAAUUAACAAUUGUGUAUAUUUUUUCAACCACAAGUACUUUCAGAAUAUAAUACAAUUCAAAUUCAAAUUAUUGUGUCAACAUACAAGUUACAGUAAAAAAAUGAAAAUG